CUUUUCUAACAAUCUCUCCUUUAUCCCAUGUUUUCUUUUUCUCUUUCCUCUCUCCUCCCCAAAUGAAUAUUAACAAAAUCUCUUGCCUCCUGGUGGAAUCAGAAUGAAUCCAUACAGACUAUACCUAUGUCAAACAUACCUAAGCAAAAUGCCACAGAGGAAAACUCAUGUUUUUAGCUCAACCCCUUUAUUGAGCUGAUUUUUUUCUAUUGCCCUGCUUUCCCUGAUAAAUAUUAUAUAUAUAUAUAUAUAUAAGCUGAAUAGACAUGGGCAAAAUUUGGUUCUUCUGGAUCAUGGAAAUUGGGCUUCGGGAUACAUGUUGGAAUCUGAGUUCCAGCAUUCUUGCAUAGUCUGGCAUCUUUAUGAGAAAUGGUCAGAAUUCCAUCCUUGAAGAAGGCUUCUAAUGGAAGAUCUCUGGAAGCAGAGGCAGUAAGCUUCUUUCGGGAAUGGGGUUAUAUGUCCAUCCUAUGCAAAGUGACUCUUGCAGCCACCACAUCAAGGGAGGCCCGUCCAAGGCUCAUGUGCUCUCCUGGCCUUCUCACGGCCAGACUGCAUGGGGAUCGUGGUCAAUCCUAAGAGAUGGAAUGGGUUUUUCAAAAGCACUUCCCCUAGAGAGAGCCCUCUACACUGGUCCAAAGGCAAUGCCAAGAGACGCAAACGGUCUGUUUCCCAUGGGAGACGAUGAUAUACCCACACGUCCCCUGCCCAGGCAUGUCGGUGGGGCCAGACCACGGCAUCUGGUUUGACAUAGAGCAGACAGGGUGAGGAACACUUUGCUUCUGUUGGAAAUGAAUGAUACUUCCUCUCCCCAGAGUACUGGGCUCUGCAAUUCACCCCAAGUGCAGCUGCUGCUGUUCUGGGUGCUUGAACUAAGUGGGAGCUGGAAGGGAUGGGGUGUCAUUCUGUCUUUAGGAAGGAAGGGCUGAGACUUCCUUAUUUUCUCCCCCCUCUCCCUGCUGACUCAAAGCUCAGGGCAUAAAUCAUUCCAUUUCUGUUUUCCCAGUGGAGAUGGUAUGCCUCAGUCUCCUUCUCUUUUGCUCUUUCUUUCCCUGGAAGCAAGGGACUCCUUUUCAGCCUGGGAGUAUAAAUGGUGGCCCUGGAAAGAAGACACUGGGCUCCCAGGGGUUCAGGGCAGGAGGAUGAAGAAGCUACACGAGAUUUGGACUUCUUAGAGCUGGUACUCCCGGAGUCUAGAAUCAGAUAGACCUCCCGCGAGGAUAUGCUAAAAGUCCCAUAGAAAACAGAUUUUGAGGCUGCAGAUCUGACAGUUUACCAAAGGAGAUGAGACAUUAUAAAUGUAUGACUGCAGGGUUGAGAGUUAACGGAAAGACUCUUAGUUGUGUCAAAUUUGCAUAGAAAAUACAUAGAAGUCUGGAUUUUUCUAUGAAGAUCUGAAAUGACAUCUGAAUACUGGGCAGAAGAGUUCACAAGAACCAAAUUUUUCAAGAGAACUGUUUCCCAAGAAUAAUUUCCAAAAAAGAAAAAAAAAUGCUAUAAUGUUUCCAAUCCUCAUCUUGGCUUGAAUCAAGACAUAAAAAACCUUAAAGUGUGAUGAGAGGGAAAAAAUAUUUUUACCUUGGAAUAAAUUCUAUUUAAGUUGGGUUAGAUAUGGAGCUAUUUAUGGAAGCUUACAACAGUUCUUAAAACUUCCUCAGAAUCUUCCAUGAAUCUAGCAGCUUAAAGAGCCCUCCACAGGUGCAUCAUGAUAUGGCCAGCUGUCUCCAGUUUGUUCUCACCAUCCUUAUCCUAGAGGCAUUGAAAAUGAUUCCUUGGAAUAUAGGUGAGUCUUGGAGCAUAAUGUGUACCCAUUUCCAGACCUCACAGGCCAGAGGUGAGGACCUACUUGCCUUUGGGUCUUUCUAGCAAGAAGCUUGUCCUGGGAAGCCACAAAAUUAAAAUCUUGUCUGGAGGUAGAUUAUAUGGAAAUAGACGUUGAGACAAAAAUGCGCAGGCAAUUUAUUAAAGUAGUACUCCCAGGAGGAACCCAAAGUGGUGUGGGGAAAGCAAGUCAGGAAGGGAAGAAGCCAGGGUACAAUUUUAGGACAAGGACAAGACCCAGUCCCUGCCUAAUCCUGGGGAGGGAGUUCUGGAGUGAAAAUAGCAUCCUAGGUAAGAGAGCUGGGCUUUCAUGAUGCUGCCCAUCAGUCUUUGACUGAGAGUAGAAAGGGUGAUGGGAGCAUGCAAUUUCCCAAGGGCUCUGGCUUCCUGCAUCUGCAAUGGAAAUGGAAGUGGCUCCCAUAGCCCAAGGGCAAUCUUAUGAAGAUGGUGGUAGGGGCAGCAGGCUGUUAAAAUUAAUACACACAGAGAAGCACAGGAAUGGGCUCUCAGAAGCAGUGCAGAACAUUCACAGGGCUUGGGGAAGACUCCCAGCAGCACUGGCUAUGAUGGUUAAUCCUGUGAGUGAUAGAAUGCUUUGCAAUCCAUGGUGCAGGUGCUAUUACUACCCCUAAUCAUUGCUCCUCAAUCCCUCAAUAUUCCCAUCCUCCUCCACUUUGUCAGUUUCCCAAUUAAAAUAAAAUCGUGAAUUUCAGCACUAAAAUGUGGAAUUCCAUUUAAGAUGCACGAGAUUUUAUUAUGCAUAUAGUCUUUUCCUCAAAAUGCCAGGAGAAUCCUAGCAGGGCUUUCUUGUUACUAAUAGAAACCUUUGUUAUUGGUAUCAUGUCAAUUUAGUUUGAUUAGUAACUAAAUCAGAUGUCUUCUUUUUGCUGAGUUCCAAAGACCCUCCAGUUCCUAAACUGGAGUAAAUUAUAGUUCAGCAGAAAGAUGGACAAAUAGCUAACCAUGAUAUUGUGUGAUAAGUGUUAUAGGACCAUAAUAUUCUAGAAGCCCACAGGAAGGGGAAUUUACUCUACCUGGGAGUUUGAAGGUAGCCUUCCAGAGGUGGGAACAAUUGAGUGCAGCCCACAAGAUUUCCAUAGGUGGAGACAAAGUAGGGUUGUUGACAUUCCAGGAAAAAUGAAGAGCAAAUAAUUAAAGAUUAUUUAAGUAAAGAUUAAAAGAGCCAAGUGAUCUGAUCUCUGGGACAGUUUAGCAAUGUAACUCUAGCCUUAGCCUCAUGGAGUUUAGACAGCAAGAAAUCACAAGAAAAAUGGCUUUGGUUAUAGAAUCGCCUGUCUCCCCUUGUCCUUUAGCUUUCCCUUGGGAGAAGUAAAUGGAGCUGAAAGCAACCUCUAGCCUCCCACUGGAGGCUUCCCCAUCUUCCCACCACCCACCAUCCUCAACACAAAGCGUUCCUCCUCAGGAAGACAUGGAAGCUAUUUUAUCCACAUUCUUCUUAAAUGAGAUGGUUCAAAAAUUAUCCAAAAAUGCAAAACUUACUUAAUAAAAAUGUUACCUCCAAGUCAUUCCUUUGUAAGGUGACCAAUAAUCCUGAUUUUCCACUGACUGCCCUGGUUUUUAACACUUAAAGUCCCACAUCCUAAGAAAUCCCCUACUCGCUGGCAAAUUGCGAUGAUGGGUCACGCUAUUCCUCUGUGUGUCCUCAGCUCUUUUGAAGUCAGCUGUUAAAUGCAAUAAAAAAUAAUUGGAAAAUGAAAGCAUUAAUACAGGCCUGAUAUCCUAAUUUGUUAGCACUGAGUGCACAUUUGCCACGGCAUCUGUAAAAUCUAACUUUGUCAGGUGGGAAUGUAUAUACUUAAAAGUUGGGUGCAUGAAGUGCCCGCCUCUCUCUAUAGGGGCUCCGUAUGGAAGUGUCCUUUAAACUUCUACUGGAGUUAGUUGGUGAUUCUAGGUCCCUAUCAGCAGCAUGGCUUCAGAAUUGAGAAACUGUGAAACAACCACUGACAUGAACCCAACGGUGAUCCGGUUUCCUCUUGCCUUAUUCAAAUUGAACUUUAUUCCUUUAUUGUUGGUGCAACCUUACACCACAUGUUAAAUACACACCGUUUGUUCCUGGUUCACCUCAGACAGGCUUUUACCAAGUGAACUAUUUUGUGGCAAUUCCCGUCAAAGAAGGGAUAUGAUAAUGACUGUUUUCCACUGUUGACAGUGUGGGCUGGCAAAUAGAAAAGCAAUAUCUGCUAAGUACAGUUACCUUCUCCAGCCCACUGCAACCAGAGUAAUCCCGCCUUGCUUUGAAAGCCUCGCCGGAUCAUUCAUCAAUGUGUGGCAUGCUGGCUUGUAUUACCCCCCACCUCUUCUAUUGUUGUCUUAUUGUGGUUUAACUCUGAAUCAACUGUACAGGGAGGCUCCUAGGCCAGACUGUGAGGUAUGUGUGCCGUGGACCCUAUCUCUACCAGAUGGCCAGACACGUCUUACCUACAACAGACUGACUUUGAACCCAACACUCCAAGACCCACUUUACAAUAUUUGAAAUAGAAUAUUACAGAAAAUGCGAUUAUCACCCUGAAUAAUUUCAAAGAUCAACUGGAGAAGACAAAAGUAGUGAUUCAUUCUACAUUUCCUUCCAUUUUCAUAUUUUAGCAAUUGGUCAAUUGGUGCUUGACUGAUGAUCAAUCACACAUUUCAGCUUUAAAAACAAAUCACCAAGCCAAUGGGAUAUCUGUCUUUCAAGUUGGCAAUAUCAAUGGACAGGCCAGGUGUUUGAUUCUACCUGCUGUAUUCCGGCACGUCCUUCAUCACCAAGUUCCAUCAAACUGUCUGAAGCAUGUGAACCUCCAGAUCUCUUCUGUACUGAUAUUUCUUGCUAUGACAUUUCAAUUCCUGAGCAUAGAUCAGGCCCCUUUCACCCUUUUCCAAGUUUAGUUCUUGGCCUCUGGAAGAGCUAGCUGGGUACACACUGCAUGUUUUAUGGCCCUUUAUUUGCUCCAGCAUGUAGUGAUAUUAUUAGGCUAUAACGUCCUCAUUUGUAACAUACUGAACCACCUCCCUAUCAAUCCAUACAGUUUAUCCCUCUAAUAUCCACAGAGAAGAAUGUCAUUCAAACCCUGAUUCUGCACUAAUACCCCUCCUUCUACCUGGCAUCAAUGCAAGAGGGCCUAGGAGAAGUCCCAGGUCUCAUCUUGGGUAUUUAUUAUUAGCAGAACUGGGUAAACAACUAGGUUUUUCACUUUGGGAGCUUUCCCAUUGCAAAAUUGUGCCCUUUUGCCAAAUAUUCUAGUUAUUGUGGAAAAACUGAGCAAUGCGAAUUGGCUAAGUUACGUAAAGUGAAAGAUCUCAGCCCAGUUGUCAUAAAAAUCUAAGGGACUUCACACUGAAGGACUAGCAGGAGUAUAGAAAGAGGGUGUUGUGAACUCAAACUCUUGACUAUUCCUUAUCAGCCCUAGCAAUGCACAGGGGCUAAUUCAGCAAACAUUUCCUAGAGAAGCCACAACAAAUACAUUAAGCUAAAAAUGAAUUCAAAGAGAAAGCUGUCCAAGAUCAUCUUAUUCUAUCAUUGCACUUCAGCUUAUCAAAUGUGCACGUAGAGAUGAUGGAGACUCCAGCUGAAAAAGAGAUGAUAAAGAAUGCCUAAUAAUAGGGUACUGGUUUUUCUUAUUUUUCUUCUCCUUGACUGUCUGACCUGAAGAAUAAAAGCUAGAGAAUUAUGACUGAGCCAAAGUCAGGCUUCUGAAAUUAAAGUCAAACAUACAGUCUUUAGUUUCCUUGGUGUUUGACCACACCUAUACAGACUAGACAUGCAGUGACUGUGUUUUCUUUACUUCUUCAUUAAGAAAAAUUCCUGGAGUUGUUUCACCUCCAUGCAUUUAUUCCUGAUCACAUGCUGGAGAAUAUUUCCUAUCUGUCAUCCAUUCUGUUCCACUGGCUUUGGUUUGCCAUUGUGGUCACCCUAACUCAGAGUGAUAGUUGAGUUAUGACUGAAAACUCACCUCUGCUUACUUCCCUUCUGAAAUCUGUGUGUACUUAGUAGGCAGCAGUAAUUCUAAAGGUGCAGCCUUACCAUUUAUCAAUCAGUAAAUAACAUAUAUCACCUAGUACGCACAUCAGAAAAAGUACUUGGGUUAUCAAUUUAAACAAUCAUUGCAAUCUCUUGGGCAAAAGUCAUUAUGUUUUGUUUUUCAAAUUGCUCAGUGGUAUGUCUUAUCUUGCCAGUCAAAUCUCAUUUUACAGUGUGGACACCAACAGCAAAAUUGAACCGAAGCUGUAAUUCUUGCCUUGGGACACUAAAUGGUUAUAUUCUUUCUUUCUGGCAAGGAGUAAAGUCCAUUGGGGGUGCAAGGGAGAAAUGUAGGUUUGGUCUUAGCUAUAGAUUCAAAUUCUAGAGCUGCUACUUACUAACUCAAUGAUCUGAGGCAAGCGGAUUGACUUAUCUGAGAUGGUUUUGCACUAGUGAACUGAGAAAAACAGUUUACCUCCCAGGGUCCUUAUGCAGUUUGGAGAAGGGAAGGCAUGGGAAUUGUCCUGCACCACGUGUGUUCUGUCAGAAGACAUCAGGGAAUGCAGCUCCAUGGUGAGGGGCAAAGGUGGCCAGCAUCAAGGUCCUCUUCCUGCUGGUUGCACUCAGACAGGGAGCUCCCUCUGUUUUGCCUGAAAACUCACCUCUAGGAACAAUCAUGUGCAAAGCCAUCUUAUAAUACAGGAGUUCUCAUCUCCUCUCAUGUUUGAAUUGUGGGACACAGAAGCCGUGCACUCCAGUUCCUUCAAGAUCUGCUGUUUUCACUAGAAUGUAUGCAGAGAUCCUGAGCUGCCUUAAAAUAUCUUAAACAAUUUGCAUGCCCUCAAAGUGCUGCUGCACCUCCCAGGGAGAGCAAUGUAGGUACUAGGCUUUUCUGAGUCUUAUUCUAGUUCUUUUAUUGUCCAACCACUUGAAUAGUUAAAUAGUUUAGAUUACUUGAAUAAAUAUAAUUUAAUUAGCUUGUUCCUAGGAAACCAAGCUUUAUCAUGCCAGUUUUCCUGAAGUGCCUUGCAUUGUACUGAUAAGCUAUAAAGUUUGUGCCACUUAGUUAACUUUCUAACUUUCUUGGCUUUUAUAGGAUGUGUGUAUUCCCAGCAAUCAAGUGUGAGAAUCUAUCUCUUAUCUUGGUUACAGAACUUAACGAAAUAUUUGUCGCUGCUCAGUUACCCCUUCUGUUCUUCAUUUGUUGAUGAAGUGCUUAUACCACCUGACACUGAAUCAAGUACCAGAUAUAAUUUCUGUGCUGCUGUGUGAAGGCGCAAAGAUAUGUCUGCUAUUUGCUGUUCCUUGUGAUGUGGUGUGCUCUUACUAGCAAUAAGUUUACAGUGAAAAUGUUUACUUGAAUUGUAGAAAUGCACCUGGAUGGAGUGAACAUAGCCCAAGUUUGGAAGCAAUAACACUUGUCAGUUCACUGAGUCCUAGAGAUGGAAUUUUAGUUUAGUUAACAGGAAGCCCACGCCAGCAAGGUGCUUUCUAGUGUUUGUUUGGUGUUGGAUUUCUUCCUCAGAUUGCAGUGAGUGGGGUGAGAUUGGGAGGCACAGGUGAUGGGAAGCUUCUUUCAUAGUUGCACACUGGACCAUGUGAAUGUUUAUGGGGAACAUAUGAGAACAUGUAACCUAGGCACAAGCUGAAAUAAAAAUGACAAUACUGAUGCCAAUCUUUCAUCAUAAGGCUAACCUUACAUGUGGCCAUGAAGAACAUAUGGGCAUACAGAGUAACAGAGGAUUCUAUUAACUUCAGCAUUUUAUUCAAUCAAUCCAUCCAUCUACCUACAUAUCCAUUCAUCCAUUUAUCUACCUAUGCAUGCAUGCAUCUUUCCAUCCAUCCA
rnacentral:lncRNA from 1 species